AUUUGUCUGAAUUUUAUCAUUUGAACUUGUAUAAUUUUGAGGGCAUUAGGUACCAUCUGAAUAAUCAUUUAUAAUGGGAUUUAUAAUGAGACUGGUUGAUAAAGUCCUGGUGUCAUUGCUGAUAAAUGUAGUCAAAUGGCACGUAAUAACUAUAAAGAGGUUUAGGGAGCAUGCUGAUUUGAAGGAUACACCUCCCAGAGCAGGCUAUUAAUGCUUUGGGGACCUUUUCCUGUAAAUUCAUAAUAUAAGCCAUGACUCUGGCCUAAUAGUCUGUUACUCCUCGCCCUAUACCCUAACUCCUUUAUCUGCUGAUAAAAUUCAUCCUAUUGCAUAUUCUUAACUUCUCCCUAACCCCAUAUAUAAUCAUGGGAAUCUCAAAC